rnacentral:rRNA from 1 species
UGGGGAAUUUUGGACAAUGGGCGCAAGCCUGAUCCAGCCAUGCCGCGUGCGGGAAGAAGGCCUUCGGGUUGUAAACCGCUUUUGUCAGGGAAGAAAUCUUCUGAGUUAAUACCUCGGGAGGAUGACGGUACCUGAAGAAUAAGCACCGGCUAACUACGUGCCAGCAGCCGCGGUAAUACGUAGGGUGCAAGCGUUAAUCGGAAUUACUGGGCGUAAAGCGUGCGCAGGCGGUUUUGUAAGACAGAGGUGAAAUCCCCGGGCUCAACCUGGGAACUGCCUUUGUGACUGCAAGGCUUGAGUGCGGCAGAGGGGGAUGGAAUUCCGCGUGUAGCAGUGAAAUGCGUAGAUAUGCGGAGGAACACCGAUGGCGAAGGCAAUCCCCUGGGCCUGCACUGACGCUCAUGCACGAAAGCGUGGGGAGCAAACAGGAUUAGAUCCCUGGUAGUCCACGCCCUAAACGAUGUCAACUGGUUGUUGGGAAGGUUCCUUCUCAGUAACGUAGCUAACGCGUGAAGUUG